AAUAUCCUACAGGGUUUAAUUUCUCAAAAAACUAAUAUCACUCUCUUCAACCUAAGAAAGGAUUGUGCAGUCUUUGUCUCACUCAAGUGGAAAGGUUCCUGUGCAAACCAGCAGAGGGCAGCACCUGCUGCGGUUUCCUGCUCUGACAUCAGAGGGCGCCAUUGUGACGUUAUGCCCGCUGCCAGCACAAAGCCUUGGCUUGGCCUGGGUUCUGUCAUUGGCCCAGGAAGCACUGUCCCGGUGACCCAGGGCUGGGAACAGCUGCCUGUUUUUCCCUUGUUUGGUUUAUGUUCCUCCUGCUGCUGUUUUAGUCAAAUUUGUUUUUUCUUUUUCCAUUUUGAUUAUUUUGUUUUCUUAUUUAUUUUGUUUAUUUUUUUCCUCCAACAUUUAUAGUCUCUUGUCGCUUUCUUAUUGAUUUUCCUAGGAUAUUUCAUUUAUUUGGAUUUCUUGUCACUUUUUCAUUGGCUUUCCUCAUGUUGGUGGUUGUUCUUUAUAUUUUCUCCCAUUGUUGGGUUUCCAUUUUUUCACAAUGUGUUUUUUUUUCUCUUUUUUAUUCCUUUUUUUAAAAUAAGACCGUGAGACCAUCUGCAUUACUUGUUAUAUAGUUCAGGUUCUUGGGAUUUUUUUCUUUAUGCUUUAUUACUCAUUUAUUUGUGUUUUCUCUUUUAGCUGGUUCCACAGGGUUAGUCUCAGUUGUGAGUCUAGUUGAGUUCAUUUAGUCCAUGUUUUCUGUUGGUGAUGUGAGCUGAGUUUGUCCAUUUUGUGUUUUGAGUUCUGUUCAUUUGAUUUCUAUUUGUUUCAUGUUCGUUUGUGCUCAAGGAGUCAGAGCUGUGAGAGCUGAUCUGUGUCAGCUGCUGGCUCGGGGUCUCCCAGACGUCAGCCCUGCUGACCCUUCCUGGGGGAGCCCUGGAGAGGGAGAGGAAUCCGGAGGAAGAAUCGCAUCCUGCGGCUCCUGUUUGGUCAAAUUUGUUUUUCUUUUUCCAUUUUUGAUUGCUUUGUACUUUUUCUAUUAUAUUUUGUUUCCUGCCACCAUUCAUGUUCAUUUUGUGUUUUCUCAUUUAACAUUUUAUUCCAUAGAACAGUCUCCGUUGUUGGUGUGGUGUAGUACACACAGUUCAUGUUUUCUGUUGGUAACGGGAGCAGAGUGAGUUUGUUCAUUUUUGUGUUUUGAUUUCUGUUCAUUUGAUUUCUGUUGUUGCAUUUUCAUUUGUGCACCACUCGUCUCCCUUCCUGGGAGCCCCGGGAGAGGGAGAAGAAUCCCGAGGCCAGAAUCGCAUCCUGGAUGGGGACUUCCUGGGGCGGGACUGACUGCGGUCCCCCAAGCCCUCUGUGUCCCCAGUGGCUCCCGCGUCCCUCAGCAGAGCGGGGCAGGAGGUGUCCAUGGCGGCUCCUGGAUGAGCUGAGAAGGCUGUCAGGUAACUACUGCCCAGUCCGGGUGGCUCUACAAGGUUUAGGAUCCAAAGAAGCCCAGAAACCUGAUCUGCACCAGCAAGAAGACUUCCUGUGGAAGGACCUCUUGGUGGCCAUGGCUCCUGUGCUGGAGGCCCCUGGCCCAUUCCCCAUGGGUGUGGACGGAGGUCACCACCAUCGUCCACUGGAAGAUGGACUCCAAGAUGCCCAGCUCAGAAUCCUCGCCCUUCCAGAAGAGGUGUUGACUGUCCCUUGUCCUCGCUGUUCCAAGGACAGGACCCUGUGCCUUCUCUGGCUGCCCCCAGGACCAAACGAUCUACCACCACGAGAAGGACUCCAAGACCCCCAGCUUCCGAAUCCUCGCCCUUCAGGAACAGGUGUUGAAUGUCCUUCGUCCUCGCUGCAAACAGGAGAGGACCCCGUGUCUUCUCUGGCUGCCCCCAGGUCACCACGAUUGUCCACAGGAAGAUGGACUCUGAGACACCCAGCUUAGAAUCCUCGCCCUUCCAGAAGAGGUGUUGAAUGUCCCUUGUCCUCGCUGCCCCAAGGACAGGACCCCGUGGCUGCUCCAUCUCUGGGGUGCAGCUGCUGCCUGGGAAGAACCUCGUUGCCUCUGUUGGUGCCCAUGGAUUGCCCUGCACUACUGCCUCUGUGCCUGCAACGAACAGAUUUAUGAGUUAGACAGAAAUCAAUUACAUCCAUAAAUAGUGGCUGGAGAAACAUGAAGGCCUCAGUGUGGGUUCGGGCACCUGUGCUCACACACGGGGAGCGGGGCGCUGGGAGCCUGGAGAAGGCAGCUUGGAGCAGCGCCCGGGGCCUGGGCUAAGUCCCAGCUCCAGUGCCUGCGGCUGCCACUGCCUUGGUUUCCCACCCCCUGGGGCUCUGUUUCUGGCUCUGUCCAGGGGGUGUGAGUGAAAGGAGCACCUGCCUCCAAGGAAGCACCCGGAACAGCAUCAGACUCCCCUGGCUGCUGGGUAGGGCUGGGUCCUUAGGCCUUGAUGUCUGGCAGGGUUCUGGGAGAUGUCAGCCGUCUGUGGGUCCUGGGCUGUGGGGGAGCUGGCUCCUUCCUGUGACCCCCACUGGCCUUUCCUUUGUCCUUGCCCCUUCUCCCUGCCUGUCUGUCCCACCCCCCUUGUUGGAGGCCCUGAACCUGAUUUGAGGCUCUCUCUAGCCUUCUUUGUCCUCUCUUCCUAUCCAGUCCAGGUGGCCUCUGUUCCUCCCCUGACCUGGGAGCCCUGGGGGUCAGAGCCCUGGGUGUCAGCAUCCGGGAGCAGAUGCCAGGACCUGGCUCAGGGCUCAGGUUCAGAGACAACUCUUUCCCAGGACUGAACGAAGCUCCUUAGGCCAGGUGCAUGGAGUGGAGUCCAUGUGAGGACAGCAUUAUCACAGAGAAAUGGUCACGAGUCAGGCAGCUCCCAGAACUGGAGCAGGUGCUGAGGACCCCUCUCCAUGACAGGUGCGACAGCUUUCCUGGACAACGGGAAGUGAGGUGGGGAGAUCAGCACCAGGGCUCCAGUUCAGUCCCACACCUGCCAGUUGGUCACCUCUUAACUAGUUAAUUGCUCACAGCCUAAUUAGUGAGCUGGAUACAGGGCCUUGUGCCUCAGCCACAGCACAGUGCCUGGAUGAAGCCAUCUGAGUUGGGUCUUGGGCCCAGUGCAUGUCCCUUAUCCAGUCCGUUGCCUUCCAUGAAUUUUAUUUAACAUCUGGUAAGGCUUCCAGUGACGUUGUCUUCUGUCUAGAGGUAGAAAGAGGUGGCUGGGUGAUGUUUAAUUGAAUUCUGAAAUCGGAAUACAAAGCCUUGUUUUAGAAACUUGGUUCUGCGACUCUGGUUGACCCUGGCCGGUGUACUGGGACGGUUGUUCUGGGCAUCACCAAUGACUGGAUCUGGGGAGGCAGGGGGAGCCGGGCCCGGGGUGCAGCCUCAGAGCACCUGCAGGUGCUGAGCCCCCCUCUCCUGCCCCUGGAUGGGAAAGACUGAGCGACCCGGGGUGUCUGUGAGUUUCUGUGGAGCCCAGAUGAGCGUGUCCAGCACCGUGGGGAUCCACCCUCGCCGUGGGCAGCACCACCCAGCCCGCCCAGAACUCGGAGAGAACAGGGCCGCAGGGCAGGGGCAGCUCGGGGCUCUCAUGGAGCCUGCGCGUCUCAGUGCUCCCCCUCAGGGCUCAGAGCCCCCGGUGCUGUGGCUUUUCCACUCUGCAACUCGCACCCGUGACCUGGGACUCCCGGCUGCAGCCCGAGACCGAGAAGAACCCGGCGGCUGCUGGGUCCUGGUCCUGGAUCCUGGGGACUCGGUGUGCACCUGCUCCCAGCUCUCCUGGUUUCCUACUUGGCAGAAGGCUGCCCCUGGAAUUUUCAGCCACCAUCAGAGUGGAAAGGCGCCUGUGUAAACCAGCAGAGGGCAGCACCUGCUGCGGUUUCCUGCUCUGACAUCAGAAGGCACCAUUGUGAUGUCAUGCCCGCUGCCUGCACAAAGCCUUGGCUGGGCCUGGGUUCUGUCAUUUGCCCAGGAAGCGCUGUCCCGGGGACCUGGGGCUGGGAACAGCUGCCUGUUUGUUUUCUUGUUUUGUUUUUAUUCUUCAAGCUGCUGUUGUUUUGGUCCAAUUUGUUUUUUCUUUUGAUUAUUUUGUUCUUUUUUCCCAUUUUAUUUAUUAUGAUUUCCUCCAGUAUUCGUAUUCUUUUUCCCUUUCUUAUUGAUUUUCCUUAGAUAUUUCAUUUCCAUUUGGAUUUUUUCUUCACUUUUUUCCUUGGCUUUCCUCUUUUUGUGGUUGUUCUUUAUAUUUUCUCCCAUUAUUUGGUUUACCUUUGUUCACUUUGAGUUUUUUUCUCAUUUUUAUUCCCUUUUUUUUAAUAAGACUGUGAGUCUGCUUGGAUUUUUAUUACAGUGAAGUUUUAUGAAUUUUUUUCUUUAUGAUUUAUUCCUUUUUUGUGUUUUCUCACUUUUAACUGUUUCGAUAGGGUCGGUCUCAGUUGUGAGUCUAGUUGAGUUCAUUUAGUUCCUGUUUUCUGUUGGUGAUGUGAGCUGACUUUGUCCAUUUUGUGUUCUGAUUUCUGUUCAUUUGAUUUCUGUUGGUUUCAUCUUCGUUUGUGCUCAAGGAGUCAGAGCCGUGAGAGCUGAUCUGUGUCAGCUGCUGGCUCGGGGUCUCCCAGACGUCAGCCCUGCUGACCCUUCCUGGGGGAGCCCUGGAGAGGGAGAGGAAUCCGGAGGAAGAAUCGGAUCCUGCGGCUCCCGUUUGGUCAAAUUUGCUUUUUCUUUUUCCAUUUUGAUUACUUUGUACUUUUUCUAUUUUACUUUGUUUCCUGCCACAAUUCAUGUUCAUUUUGUGUUUUCUCAUUUUAACAUUUUCUUCAAAAGAACAGUCUCCGUUGUUGGUCUGGUGUAGUACACACAGUUCAUGUUUUCUGUUGGUAACGGGAGCAGAGUGAGUUUGUUCAUUUUUGUGUUUUGAUUUCUGUUCAUUUGAUUUCUGUUGUUGCAUUUUCAUUUGUGCACCACUCGUCUCCCUUCCUGGGAGCCCCGGGAGAGGGAGAAGAAUCCCGAGGCCAGAAUCGCAUCCUGGAUGGGGACUUCCUGGGGCGGGGACCGAUUGCCAGUCCCCCAAGCCCUCUGUGUGCCCAGUGGCUCCCGCGUCCCUCAGCAGAGCGGGGCAGGAGGUGUCCAUGGCGGCUCCUGGACCAAGGUAACUACUGCCCAGUCCGGGUGGCUCUACAAGGUUUAGGAUCCAAAGAAGCCCCGGAAACCUGAUCUGUACCAGCAAGAAGACUUCCUGUGGAAGGACCUCUUGGUGGUCACCACCAUCGUCCUCUGGAAGAUGGACUCCGAGACGCCCAGCUCAGUAUCAUCGCUCUUCCAGAAGAGGUGUUGAAUGUCCCUUGUCCUCGCUGCCCCAAGGACAGGACCUUGUGGAUUCUCUGCUGCCCCCAAGUUACCACGAUCGCCCACUGGAAAAUGGACCUGAGAAUCCCAUUUUCAGAAUCCUCGCCCUUCCUGAACAGGUGUUGAAUGUCCCUCGUCCUCGCUGCCCCAAGGACAGGACUCUGUGGCUCCUCUGUCCCCGGGGAGCAGCUGCUGCCUGGGAAGAACCUCGUUGCCUCUGUUGGUGCCCAUGGAUUGCCCUGCACUACUGCCUCUGUGCCUGCAUGUUAACUGUUUAAAUAGGAGUUUAAGAGAAAUCCAUUAGGUCAUAAAUUUGUGGAUGGAGAAACAUGAAGGACUUAGUGUUGAUUCGGGCACCUGUGCUCACACACCGGGGAGCGGAGCGCUGGGAGCCUGAAGGAGGCAGCUUGGAGCCGCGCCCGGGGCCUGGGCUGAGUCCUGGCUCCAGUGCCCGCGGCUGGCACUGCCUUGGUUUCCCACCCCCUGGGGCUCUGUUUCUGGCUCUGUCAAGGGGGUGUGAGUGACAGGAGCACCUGCCUCCAAGGAAGCCCCCGGAACAGCACCAGACUCCCCUGGCUGCUGGUAGGGCUGGGUCCUUAGGCCUUGAUGUCUGGCGGGGUUCUGGGAGCUGUCAGCCUCUGUGGGUCCUGGGCUGUGGGGGAGCUGGCUCCUUCCUGUGACCCCCACUGGCCUUUCCUUUGUCCUUGCCCCUUCUCCUUCUCUCUGUCCCCACCCCUCCUUGUUGGAGGCCCUGAACCUGAUUUGAGGCUCUCUCUCCCCUUCUUUGUCCUCUCUUCCUAUCCAGUCCAGGUGGCCUCUGUUCCUCCCCUGACCUGGGAGCCCUGGGGGUCAGAGUCCUGGGCGUCAGCAUCCAAGAGCAGAUGCCAGGACCUGGCUCAGGGCUCAGGUUCAGAGACAACUCUUUCCUGUGACUAAAGGAAGCUUCUUAGGCCAGGUGCAUGGAGUGGAGUCCAUGUGAGGACAGCAUUAUCACAGAGAAAUGGUCACGAGUCAGGCAGCUCCCAGAACUGGAGCAGGUGCUGAGGACCCCUCUCCAUGACAGGUGCGACAGCUUUCCUGGACAACAGGAAGUGAGGUGGGGAGAUCAGCACCAGGGCUCCAGUUCAGUCCCCACACCUGCCAGUCGGGCACCUCUUAACUAGUUAAUUGCUCACUACCUGAUUAAUGAACUGCCUCUGGGUCUUGUGCCGCAGCCCCAGCCCCGUGGCCCUGAUGAAUCUGUUUGGGUAGGGGGUGUGGGCCCAGUGCUGGUGCCUGGUCCAAGUCCAUGAUUCCCAUGAAUUUUCUUUAACACCUGGUAAGGCUUCCCUGAUGUCAUGUUUUCAUCCCUAGGUGAAGCAGAGGUCGGCUAGGUGACGUUUCAUGAAGUUAGGAACGUUCGAGCGAAGGGCCUUGUUAGCAUCUGAGUUCCAAGACUCUGUUCACCUUGGCUGUUGCCCCGGUCCGGUGUCUCCAGAAACCAGAUAGGGGAGGCCCUGAGAGCUAGGUGCAGGGUGGAGCCUCUGGGUGUCCUAGGUGCUGGGCGCUCCCUUCUGCUGCCCCCAGACGGGAAGAUUGAGCGACUGGAUGCGGCUUUAGGAGUGUGUGGAUCCUAGAUGGGAGUCUGAGCAGGCAUGGGCUCCACCUCUGAGUGGGAGGCACCAUCAUCAGUGGGGACCUCGGAGACAGGAGGGCGGCAGAGGAAGGGCGAGCUGGGCUCUCUCUGGGCCUGCGGUCUUAGCUCUCCCAGCUCAGGGUCAGAACCCAGGUCCUGUGGCUUUCUGAUCUGGAGCUCGAACCGGUGGACCCUGGGCUCACAGUGCAGCCUGAGUCUGAGAAGGACAUCAGGGGGUCAGGAUCCUGCGGGCUCAGUCUGUGCCUGGCCCCCAGCGCUCCUGGUUCCCCGCCUUGCAGACAGAGCACACUGGGACUACACAGUGCCAUCACCAGGUGAGCCCCUCCCUUGCCUGGCUCUCUGUGCUGUGGUCUGGCUCCCUGCAGAUGGUGGUGGGAUGGAUUCUGAAUCCUCUGGGGACCUUGCUGGGUGCACUGCUGCGGGAGAGGCCGGCAUGGGAGUUCUGGGGUUCGGGAAGCUUCCGGUGGUGCCCAGGACAAGGCUCUCCGUCUGGCGUCCUCAGAGUGCCUGGGGAUCCCUGCAGUGGGACGUGCAGACCCAGAGGGCGCUUGGAGCGGGGUGGAUGGGAACCCCGGAGCCACCCCUUGCACAGGCGUCCACUGAGCAGCUGCACACCAACUGGGCCGUGGUAGCGGGCGGCUCUUUUCACUCUCUGGCCCAGGAUUAGAACCACCUGCGGGCUGGAAGCCACAGAGGCCUGGGCAGCUCCCCAGGGAGACGCAGGUGUUCCAUAUCAGAAAGAGUUUGUAGUGGUCACCUGGGUCUCAGGAAACGCUGAGCGCGGCCUUGCCUUGGUGUGGGGGAUUUUGGGGGUGUGAGUUUGGGCACAGCUAGGAGCAGGCCUGGGGCUGUGGGGUCCUCCUGGGCAGGGCGGCAGCACCUCUGAUUUAGCCCUGCAGAACUUGUUUCUGUCUUCCCAAAGCCCAGUCCCACGACUGCACGCUGCACAGAGGGGAAGCCGCAGGGCGCAUGCUCCUGACCCAGCGCCCUGGGGAGUCUCUUUCCAGACCUCUUACUGCGCAUCCGUGUGUCCAAUCAGGAGCUGAGGACGACCGUGGUUAAGAACCCAGGUCAGGGCCAGGCCGCCCUGCUUGGAGUCCUGGUUCUCCUGUCCGUGCCUGGUGUCCUUGGCUGUGCAGCGUCUGUGUGUGGCCGGCAUCUGUGAGGUGGGCACAGGCUGUGAGGAGGCAGCGUGGGUGUGGGUAACCAGCAGAGCACAUGUGGUGCACGUGCGGCCUGGACGGGCUCACUGCAGACACUUGAUCCUGGAGGCUGCUCCUCGGGGCCUGGGUCCCUCGGCUGUCACAGUGCCCACGGGAACCGCCCCUUCCUGUCUACCACAGGGUGGUGUCCGAGCAUGGACACCCUGAUUUGGGCACGGUGCCUCCACUAUUCACAACUCCCAGGGGUCUCAGAGCAGGUGUGCACACACCCUGCACACGCAGCCCUGAGAGGGUCUCUGGUGGACACAGCUGGGAGUGGGCGGGUUCAUGCAGAGGCCGCGUGUACCUGGCUUGUUAGGAAGGCCGUGCCCCGGCCCCCUGUGCAGCGGCACUGAGGGCUCUCACCCCACAGGCCAGCGGGCAGGAUGAGUGCUGUCCCUGCAGACGCUGGGGUGUGGGUGCUGGGGUCGCAUUCAUGGGCCCCCUCUUCCCUGUAACGUGGAGCGUCCGUGUGGCCAGGCCGUGUGGGUGUCCUGCAGGAUGUCGCGUCAUGGUCUCUGCCUGUGGCAGUGUCUGCAGCUGUGGAUUCUGAGGUCCUGUCACGACAGGCAGGUCCUCAUGUGUCACCAACACCAAUUCUUUGUGAUUGCAAACACUUUUUUAAAUACAUUUUUUAAAUAUUUAUUUAUUAAUUUUAAAGUCAGAGUUAUACUGUCUUUCUCUCAAUCACCCUUAUAUCCACUGGUUCCCUCACCAAUUGAAAGCAAUGGCUAGAGCUGUGGUGAUAUGAGACAGGGAGCCAGCAGCUUCUUCUGAAUCUCCCAGAUGGGUGCAGAACUUGGGCCUUCUUCUACUGCUUUCCCAGGCCAUAGCAGAGAGCUGGAUCAGAAGUGGAGCAGGCGGGACUCAAACCAGCACCCAGAUGGGAUCUGGCCACAGCAGGUGGUAGCUUUACCCACCAUGCCUCAGUGCCAGCCCCAAGCACUUCCUUCUUGCCUGUCUUCUCUUUCAUAUGUGUUGUUGUACGGGGCCUUCCUUUGAGGUAUCACUCACGUACCGUGGACGUGACCCUGUGACGCGUCCCGCACACUGGUUCUAGGUGUACACCUGUCUCUAUCGAGCUCACUGUGUGAGAGCUGGGCUCAGGGAGGCUGCAGAUGGCGCAGUGACAGAGACACUGGACUCGGAUCCCUUUCUUUCUCCCUGGCUUUCCUCUGCCCCACCAGGGCGUCUGCAGACCGAGCCCUGGGAGAGCGGAGGGAGGGUCUGACGCAGGCCCAGUGAGCCUGAGUAGGAAGUGCUAGCAUGGCUGGGGCUGCUCCAUCCUGGCUGCAUGGGCGCUGCUGGGGAACCAGAGCCCCGGACCCCACAGGGUGGGGGCACAGGUGAGCCUGGCAUAGGGUGCUGCAGGGUGCCCAAAGUGCACCCCAGGACGGCACUGAACAGACGGGGUCUCUGCUAUGCAGGGAACUACUGAAGGCUACAAGGUCACUGCUUAAGAUGAGCCCCACCCAUUCUAUUCCUUAGCUCAGGUCACAGCCUCUGUCCCCAUCCGGGCACAGACACCAGGCAGAGUGACCCAGGGUCGUGGGGGAGGGGCCCAGUGUCCCUGAUCUUCAGUGGUUCAGGGCUGUCCCUGGGGACAUCCAUCCGCAGGCCCCUCCUCCUCCUGUGUGUACAGGGAAAGUGAGUUCUGGCAUCUGGACGCCCAUGUGACAGUCUGCCUGUGUGCCCUUCCCUGACACCAGGGAGGCAGAGCAAUUCCCUCCCUUGGGAGAGGGGGGCUCAGGCUCCAGGUCCAGGGGCUGCCUCCCCUCCCCCACUGGCUCCCUGGCUCCCUGUGGAGCUGGGCCUCUGCCUCAGGCUCAGCUUGCAUUCACAGCCUCAGCCCCACCCCUGCAGACCUGGGCUGUGGGCAUUGGCCCCUCCUUCACAAACAGGGAAACUGAGGCCGAGAUGAAGAGCCAGGCCCCUCCCCAGUGAGCGGUUCCUCCCAGGCCCAGGUGGCUGCUGAUUCCUGCCCCACCCAGGGAGCAGCUGGGGCAGAGCCGGGGCGUCAGCAUCGGGAGCAGCUGCCAGCCCUGGGCCCAGGGGCUCAGUGUGGAGGAGACAGCUCCACCUGUGACAGAGGAACGUCCUUAGGCCAGUACAUGGAGUGGAGUGUAUCUGAGAAGAGCAUCAUACAACAACAAUGAUACCAGAACCAGGCAGCUCUGGGAAUGGAGCAGGUUCUGAGGUGGCUCAUCCAGGACAGGUGCACAGCACUGCUGGACCACGGGAAGUGGGUGCAGAGAUCAGCACCAUGGCUCCAGGUCAGUCCCCAGACCUGCGGGGUGGCCACGGCU